UAGAGCAAGUGACCAAGCAAGGCAGGA
rnacentral:piRNA from 1 species